rnacentral:rRNA from 1 species
UACGGAGGGGGCUAGCGUUGUCCGGAAUUACUGGGCGUAAAGAGCUCGUAGGUGGUUUGUCGCGUUGUCCGUGAAAACUCACAGCUCAACUGUGGGCGUGCGGGCGAUACGGGCAGACUGGAGUACUGCAGGGGAGACUGGAAUUCCUGGUGUAGCGGUGGAAUGCGCAGAUAUCAGGAGGAACACCAGUGGCGAAGGCGGCGAUCUGGGUCGAUACUGACGCUGAGGUGCGAAAGCGUGGGGAGCAAACAGG